UGGCGGUGCGGGGCGCGGGUGCCCGUGGGGCGGUGCGGGGCAGCCUCGGGCUCUGUGUGUCCGUGUGCGAAGAGAUGUGUUUUGUAAUUAUUUCCCCGUUGCUCCUUCGGCGUCCCGGCGCGUUCCUGGUCCUAAGGAGGGAACGAGGAAAUGAGGUUUAAGAAGCAUCUUCACGCCAAAAGCAGGUCUCGGCUGCACCGCUGUAAGAGCAGAAGUGAUUUCCCUGGAAUAUCGGGUUUGCUAGCUGAGGCCCCAGCAGGUACCUAUAGGAAGUACUGGAAGAAGAACAUGUGUAUUCACCACACCCUGGAUCUGCCCAAGCACAU